rnacentral:rRNA from 1 species
UACGGAGGGUGCAAGCGUUAUCCGGAUUCACUGGGUUUAAAGGGUGCGUAGGCGGGUAUAUAAGUCAGUGGUGAAAGCUCCGGGCUUAACUUGGAAACUGCCAUUGAUACUGUAUAUCUUGAAUGUCGUUGAGGUAAGCGGAAUGUUGCAUGUAGCGGUGAAAUGCUUAGAUAUGUUACAGAACACCAAUUGGGAAGACAGCUUACUAAGCGAUGAUUGACGCUGAGGCACGAAAGCGUGGGGAGCAAACAGG